AGUGAACGCUGGCGGUAGGCCUAACACAUGCAAGUCGAACGGCAGCACAGUAAGAGCUUGCUCUUACGGGUGGCGAGUGGCGGACGGGUGAGGAAUACAUCGGAAUCUACUUUUUCGUGGGGGAUAACGUAGGGAAACUUACGCUAAUACCGCAUACGACCUACGGGUGAAAGCAGGGGAUCUUCGGACCUUGCGCGAUUGAAUGAGCCGAUGUCGGAUUAGCUAGUUGGCGGGGUAAAGGCCCACCAAGGCGACGAUCCGUAGCUGGUCUGAGAGGAUGAUCCGCCCCACUGGAACUGAGACACGGUCCAGACUCCUACGGGAGGCAGCAGUGGGGAAUAUUGGACAAAGGGCGCAAGCCUGAUCCAGCCAUACCGCGUGGGUGAAGAAGGCCUUCGGGUUGUAAAGCCCUUUUGUUGGGAAAGAAAAGCAGCAGGUUAAUACCCCGCUGUUCUGACGGUACCCAAAGAAUAAGCACCGGCUAACUUCGUG
rnacentral:rRNA from 1 species